rnacentral:rRNA from 1 species
AGAGUAUGGUAGAGGAAUGGGGAAUUUCUGGUGUAGCGGUGAAAUGCGUAGAGAUCAGAAGGAACACCAAUGGCGAAGGCAACAUUCUGGACCAAUACUGACACUGAGGGACGAAAGCGUGGGGAUCAAACAGGAUUAGAUACCCUGGUAGUCCACGCUGUAAACGAUGAGUACUAGCUGUUGGAUUCGGUGUAAAGGAUCUAGUGGCGUAGCUAACGCGUUAAGUACUCCGCCUGGGGACUACGGCCGCAAGGCUAAAACUCAAAGGAAUUGACGGGGACCCGCACAAGCGGUGGAGCAUGUGGUUUAAUUCGAUGCAACGCGAAGAACCUUACCUGGUCUUGACAUCCUGCGAACUUUCUAGAGAUAGAUUGGUGCCUUCGGGAACGCAGUGACAGGUGCUGCACGGCUGUCGUCAGCUCGUGUUGUGAAAUGUUGGGUUAAGUCCCGCAACGAGCGCAACCCCUAUUGAUAGUUACCAUCAUUAAGUUGGGUACUCUAUUGAGACUGCCGCUGACAAGGCGGAGGAAGGUGGGGACGACGUCAAGUCAUCAUGGCCCUUACGACCAGGGCUACACACGUGCUACAAUGGGUAUUACAGAGGGCAGCGAAGUAGCGAUAUGGAGCGAAACUCAGAAAGGUACUCUUAGUCCGGAUUGCAGUCUGCAACUCGACUGCAUGAAGUCGGAAUCGCUAGUAAUCGCAGGUCAGAAUACUGCGGUGAAUACGCUCCCGGG